CCUCCUCCAUGAACACUCAGGCUCAUCACAAGCCCCUUACUGGGCACCUGUGAUGCUCCAGGCACGGUGUCCAGCGCUGGGAGGAACAGUGACCAGGGCAGAACAAGGUGGGCCGCCCUCACAGAACGAGGACCCCGGGCGACAUGGACUCCCACCCCAGAGCCUAACAGCGAUGGGCACCCAGUGUCCGCCAGCACAGCCUGGGGCCAGCACAGCCCUCCAGAAGCCAAAGGUCAUAAGACCCCCAUUCCAGAGGGUCCUGCCCCACACCCAGAAGGCAGGCAGGCAGGCUGCUCAGAGAGACCAAGAAGAAUCUAGACAGGCCUGGCUGCGUUUCCCUGUUCAGUCAGCAUAGGAUCCUGCACUUUUUGCCAAUCCCAUUUCUACUCGGCUGGCCACACUUUGCUGAGCCUAAGCCUAACAAUGGACAGCUUCCCAUCUUUGGGUCUUCAUUCUGAAGACGCCCAUGUCUACAUGCUAAAUAAAUUUGCGUGUCUUUUCUCCUGUUA